UGCUGCUCUCGAGAACGGCAAGUAACAGACGCCGGUAAAAAUGUCGUCCAAAUUAACAGAAGAAUGCGCACCGUUGUAAGUGGCCAAUACACACCCGACUGCGCACGGAAUCUAAAAUAUCGAUAAUAAUGCCGCGCAAUACGAGCGGUACUGUCCGCGCGGUAUUUUUACGAAGUCGAUCAGUAACCGAAGCCGCGAGACCGUAUUUUCCAACAAAGCCGAAAUCGACCAAAAGUCACUCCCAUUCGUCAACUCUUGGUCUCGUCAAUAGUCUGUACAUAAUAUAAAUGGAUCGUUUUUUAUUGCCCGCGCUGACAUCACGGAUAGUGCACGUAUAGUUACGACGACAGUCGUUUUCAAAUGACACGGUUUCCCGUCAGUAUUGGUUGAAUUCAAUUAACUUUUAAUGAUAUAACCUAUACUAAUUGGCUUAACGACUCAGCUCCGAACUCGCGGGCGUAUUAAAUUGUAUUGUAAUGUGUCCGAGGAAUAUGUAAAAAAAAAAAAAAAAUACACAUUUCUUUAUAAGAAAAAAAAUUCACGUUUACGCCCGCGUGUGCCCGUUUGUAUAUAUUACAACAAGCGUUUCGGUGAGAAUCCUUAUCAACGCCGACAAACGCGGUAUUGGCAUUCAGAAGUAAACCGGGGUAUCCGGGAUAUAAUAUUCGGAAUGCGUAAACGUCGAACGUCCCCCCUAGAAAUCGUUACCGAUAACGGUAUACGAGAAAUUUUGAUAAACGGCGACACUGUUGGCCGUAAACGUUCGCGGUUUUUCGUAACCGCAUUACCGAUAGUCUGACG